rnacentral:lncRNA from 1 species
AAAAAUUCCGGUGGGAACCACCAAUGCUCUCCAACGUCUCUCACUUUUCAUGAGGCACACUCCCACUCACACCAAUAUAAUCCCUCCAACGGUAAUAAUAAGAAGAGAAGACAACUAGCACUCUCUCGGGGACUCAUUAAAUGCAAGAGGAUAAAAAGCAAAAAUAAAAAAAAGUUUUCGGGACCACCCAAUCAUCACAUGUUACCUACUCUCUCUACUGCAAGAGAAAAGGAAAUUAAAAAAAACUCACUCAUAUACUCUCUCUCACACACACAACUUCCCUCACGCGGAAAAGAAAAAAAAUAAAGAAGAAGAAACACUUUCUUCCUCUAUGCCUUUUCUUCACUCUCCCAACGCGUUUUCAC